AACGAACGCUGGCGGCAUGCCUAACACAUGCAAGUCGAACGAGACCUUCGGGUCUAGUGGCGCACGGGUGCGUAACGCGUGGGAACCUGCCCUUAGGUUCGGAAUAACUCCCCGAAAGGGGUGCUAAUACCGGAUAAUGUCUUCGGACCAAAGAUUUAUCGCCCUUGGAUGGGCCCGCGUUGAAUUAGCUAGUUGUUAGGGUAAAAGCCUACCAAGGCGACGAUCCAUAGCUGGUUUGAGAGGAGGAUCAGCCACACUGGGACUGGGACACGGCCCAGACUCCUACGGGAGGCAGCAGUGGGGAAUAUUGGACAAUGGGCGAAAGCCUGAUCCAGCAAUGCCGCGUGAGUGAUGAAGGCCUUAGGGUUGUAAAGCUCUUUUACCCGGGAUGAUAAUGACAGUACCGGGAGAAUAAGCUCCGGCUAACUCCGUG
rnacentral:rRNA from 1 species